rnacentral:rRNA from 1 species
AACGAACGCUGGCGGCAUGCCUAACACAUGCAAGUCGAACGAUUGCCUUCGGGUGAUAGCGGCGCACGGGUGCGUAACGCGUGGGAAUCUGCCCUUAGGUUCGGAAUAACAGCUGGAAACGGCUGCUAAUACCGGAUGAUAUCGCGAGAUCAAAGAUUUAUCGCCUGAGGAUGAGCCCGCGUUGGAUUAGGUAGUUGGUGGGGUAAAGGCCUACCAAGCCGACGAUCCAUAGCUGGUCUGAGAGGAUGAUCAGCCACACUGGGACUGAGACACAGCCCAGACUCCUACGGGAGGCAGCAGUGGGGAAUAUUGGACGAGGAGCGCAAGCCUGAUCCAGCAAUGCCGCGUGAGUGAUGAAGGCCCUAGGGUUGUAAAGCUCUUUUACCCGGGAAGAUAAUGACUGUACCGGGAGAAUAAGCCCCGGCUAACUCCGUG